rnacentral:rRNA from 1 species
AUUGAACGCUGGCGGAAUGCUUUACACAUGCAAGUCGAACGAUGAACCUUAGCUUGCUAAGGGGAUUAGUGGCGAACGGGUGAGUAAUGUAUCGGAACGUAUCCAAUAAUGGGGGAUAACUAGUCGAAAGAUUAGCUAAUACCGCAUACGUCCUACGGGAGAAAGCUAGGGACCUUCGGGCCUGGCGUUAAUGGAGCGGCCGAUAUCUGAUCAGCUAGUUGGUGGGGUAAAGGCUCACCAAGGCGACGAUCAGUAGCUGGUCUGAGGGGACGACCAGCCACACUGGAACUGAGACACGGUCCAGACUCCUACGGGAGGCAGCAGUGGGGAAUUUUGGACAAUGGGCAAAAGCCUGAUCCAGCCAUUCCGCGUGAGUGAAGAAGGCCUUCGGGUUGUAAAGCUCUUUCGCAAGGGAAGAAAACUUAAGCUCUAACAUAGCUUGAGGUUGACGGUACCUUGAUAAGAAGCACCGGCUAACUACGUGCCAGCCGCCGCGGUAA